rnacentral:rRNA from 1 species
UACGUAGGUGGCAAGCGUUGUCCGGAUUUACUGGGCGUAAAGCGAACGCAGGCGGACUUUUAAGUAGGAAGUGAAAGGUUGGAGCUCAACUCCGACACUGCUUCCUAUACUGGGAGUCUUGAGUAGCGGAGAGGAAGAGGGAACGACACGUGUAGCGGUGAAAUGCGUUGAUAUGUGUCGGAACACCCAUGGCGAAAGCACUCUUCUGGACGCACACUGACGCUCAUGUUCGAAAGCCAAGGUAGCGAACAGG